rnacentral:lncRNA from 1 species
UAAUAUUUAGCAUAUUACCAAUAUUUUCUAAUUUAUCUGGUUCUGUCAUCAUUUAUUCCUGAAAAGCAGCUAAUACUUCUCAAGCUGGCUAUGAGCCAAUGCAUUUAAAAGAGGAGACUCUCACAUCUCUUUAUUCCUGAUUUCAAAUGUAUAUACACACAUAUAUAUUUUUAAAAAUUAUAUUAUAUUAAAAAAUUCAAAGGAAAUAAUUGUUCAUUUGAAUUUUUUAAUAUUGUUGAUCUUUUUUCAAAAUGUUUUUCUUUCCAAAUCACUUUUUACUUAGGCUCCACUUAUAGUCCCUAAUAUCCACCCAGACUCCUUUUAUAGCUAUGAACCAAAGUCUUCAGAAUAUCUCAAUAAUUUUACCAUGUUUUUUAUUGUAGUCUCUCUUCUUCCUAUUUCUCAAUCUGUUCUAAAUCACAACCUAUUUGUACCAAUUUCUUAUUCAAUCACAUUUAUGUCUUCCUUUGCUUACAGGGACAAUUUUCUAUACAUAAGGAUGAUAUUCAAAAUCUCUUCACCUAAUUGGUCUUCUCUACCAAACUAAACAUCACUAUUUUUCAAACGAUUCUCUCCUAUUGACCACCGAACACAUCAUAUCUAGAAUUACUACAAAACAAUCCUAAUAAAUUGGUCUUCCUUCUUUGAAUAGCAAUAAUCCCAAUUACUGGAUUGGAAAAUUUAAAUUAUAUGUUACAAUGCCUUAUUAUCUCACUCUUUAUAUGUUUUCUUCCCCAGCUACAUGAAAAGCUAUUACACAGCUAUUAUUUUGACUUAUACUUGUUUUGCUGCUUUUUUUUUUUUUUUUUGAGACGGUGUCUCGCUCUGUCGCUCAGGCUGGAGUGCAGUGGCGUGAUCUUAGCUCACUCUUGUUUUGCAUUUUUUAUGUGACUAGCACACAAUGCUUACAACUCUAGCCACUUAAUUCAUUUUGCUUCAAAGUGUGAAUGAAUACAAUUUAUUACCAUGUAAACUGGCUAAAUAAUCACUCAUAAUUUUUGUCCUCAUAAGGGACAAACAGCUAUAAUAUAAAGUUACGAUAUUUCCCAUAUGUCCUUGAAGUGAAGGUGGCCAUGUGACUCAACUUGGCCCAAAGGAGCAAUAUGGAGAGAUAGUGGAAAUAAUAUGUCCCGCCUCAAGGCAAGGCUCACAUAAACGUAUGCAUGAUUUUCAAACUCUUUUCCUUCCUAGCAAGCUUGAUGUUAAUGAUAAUGAUAAAUUUUUGGAAGCCAUACAUUAAAGAUGAAGAAAAAUAUGGAAAUAGCUCAAGUUACCUCCCCAACAUUAAAACAAACAACCCUCAGAGAAAAUUCACCAGUUAACGAGGAACUAGAAUUUUGAACGCACUGUGAAAAAAACUAAAACAAAAGCAAACAAACAAAUAAAACUUCUACCAAGUUUGAGC